CCCUGCUGCCCAUGUCAGCUGGCAGACAGGCAGCAGCGUCGCCUCCUCCAACUCCUCCCCAACCUCUGUCACUGAAGAUUCAGCAGUCUUCAGCACCGCCCCCUCUCUCUCCUCCCGUCAGAUAGAGGACUCAGGACACAGGAAGUCACAUAAUGUACAUGUGACUAUGCACUGUCUGGGGGAGGAGUGAGCUGUAGUGAGAAGAGGAGCAGCCAGCCAGUGUAUCAGCCUGCAGCCCUAGUAACCAGCCACAGAGGAGCUGAGACAGGUUCCUGCUGGGAUCCAGCUGCAGGCACCAUAGGAACUGGUCUGUGGAGCUGGGGCACCCAAGACUUCCUGCUCCGUGGACAGUGAGGCGGGUGAUGCAUCGCCAUGGCAACAUGACGUCAGGAGCAGAAGCGGAAGGGAGCGUGACGGCCGCGGACGGGGACCAGUUGGACGGCGGCGGUGAUCAGCGGGUACCUUUACAGAGAUGGGAGAUCCAUGGCUUCCUUAUUUGGUCACGUUACCCAGUACCUGAGCCCCGUUCAGCUCUCAACAGUCCUGCCAGAAAUGCUGGGACCACCAUAAAGUUUCAGGCACGUUUCAGGCUCACCACAUUUCAGGCACGGCGGCUCACUUUGUUCGCCAUAGAUUACUAUUUCCAUUAGAUGUCCACGUGGAUAGUAAAACUGAUAGCACAGGGGUCCCAUGUUCUACACUUGAGCCCAUGAUGUUAAACAUAUUAGCAGUCAUUUUUCAGGAAGAUGGAACAUUUUAUUCACAGUAAAAAUCUCUCCAGGUAGCAGUGGUGUAGUAUUAGGGGUAGCAGUAUUAGCAACCACUACCGAGAUCAAGAUCCCUGGGAACCUGGCUGCCUCCGUAGAACUGUAAAGGCUAUAAGCUACAGUAUGCUGGAGUCAGGCAUAGACGGGACAGAGAAGGAAUAAGGUUGGUGUAGAAACGUGUAAGGGGCAGAGAAACUCAAAUGUAGUAUAACUGAACUAGCAAUGGACAAAGUAGGUGUGAAGGUUGUGGGAAGUUGCUAGCAGUGGUGGGAAAAUAUGAGGGGCCUAGAACACAAUUUGCUCAAGAACCCACGUACCUUUAGUAAUGCCACUAGCUGUGCAGUGUUUAUGUUUAGUUUUAUUUUCUUGUUUUUUUGCUGAAACUUUAGGCAUAUUUCAUAUUUUGAUUUAUUUAACAGCUCAACAGUUAUAGGUUCUUAUCAUGGUUUUUCCAUCAAAAAUGAACUAAGUUUGGGCUUGUUAUAGAUUGAGAGAGCAUCAAGUUCAUGACUGUUUUUGUUUCAAAUAUAUAAUAUUGCUGUCUGCAUAGCA